UGAGCAGGAAACAUGGAGAAGAAUCCUUUGGCAGCCUCAUUACUAAUCCUCUGGCUUCAUCUUGACUACCGCAACUAUUUCUAUCGAUCUGGAAGAAGCUUGUACCAGGCAACCCAUUUAGGAGCAGUUGGAUGAAGAGGAAGGAGAGGGAGAUGCUACUCAUCACAUCAAUGUUGGUCUUAUGGAUGCAAUUGUCACAGGUGAAUGGACAACAGGUAAUGCAAAUUCCUCAGUGCCAGCAUGUACAAGAAGGAGAGGACUUCACCACGUACUGCAAUUCCUCAAUUGCUUUAAGCAAUAUACAGUGGUAUAAGCAAAGGCCUGGGGGACAUCCCGUUUUUUUGAUACAGUUAGUGAAGAGUGGAGAAGUGAAGAAGCAGAAAAGACUGACAUUUCAGUUUGGAGAAGCAAAAAAGAACAGCUCCCUGCACAUCACAGCCACCCAGACUACAGAUGUAGGAACCUACUUCUGCGCAGGGCACAGUGCUCCCCAAGCACCUGCUGCCUGUCUCCAAAUCUUGCCCUGCGCAAGAGCAGAUCGUUCUACUCUCCCCAAAGAGCAGGAGCCAGAGAAAGCCAAAGUCACAAUGUCUGUGAGGAUCUCGAGCAACUCCUCCCCAUGGCAGUAGGAAUUCAUGUAGAAAUUCACUCUGUUAAGACCUGGAAGAGUUUAGCAGUUUUAUUUCCUAAAACUUAACUACCGGUUUU